rnacentral:rRNA from 1 species
UGGGCGUAAAGGGUCGCAGGCGGAAUAACAAGUCAGAUGUGAAAGGCAUGGGCUCAACCCAUGUAAGCAUUUGAAACUGUAAUUCUUGAGAAGUGGAGAGGUAAGUGGAAUUCCUAGUGUAGCGGUGAAAUGCGUAGAUAUUAGGAGGAAUACCUGUGGCGAAGGCGACUUACUGGACACAAAUCUGACGCUGAGGAACGAAAGCGUGGGUAGCAAACAGGAUUAGAUACCCUGGUAGUCCACGCCGUAAACGAUGAGUGCUAGGUGUCGGGGGAGACCUCGGUGCCGGCGUUAACACAAUAAGCACUCCGCCUGGGGAGUACGUGCGCAAGCAUGAAACUCAAAGGAAUUGACGGGGACCCGCACAAGCAGCGGAGCAUGUGGUUUAAUUCGACGCAACGCGAAGAACCUUACCAGGGCUUGACAUACUGAGGACGUACUUAGAGAUAAGUAUUCUUCUUCGGAAGCCUCAAUACAGGUGGUGCAUGGUUGUCGUCAGCUCGUGUCGUGAGAUGUUCAGUUAAGUCUGGCAACGAGCGCAACCCUUACCUUUAGUUACCAGCAUUUCGGAUGGGAACUCUAAAGGGACUGCCGAUGAUAAAUCGGAGGAAGGUGGGGAUGACGUCAAAUCAUCAUGCCCUAUAUGCCCUGGGCUACACACGUGCUACAAUGGUCGGAACAGAGGGAAGCAACAGAGCGAUCUCAAGCGAAUCUCAUAAAUCCGAUCCCAGUUCGGAUUGCACUCUGCAACUCGAGUGCAUGAAGUCGGAGUUGCUAGUAAUCGCAGAUCAGCAUGCUGCGGUG